ensembl:snRNA U6 U6 spliceosomal RNA
AUGUACGCUAACACAUGUACUUAAAUGACAAUGAUACAGAGUAGAUUAGCAUGGCCACUUGCAUAAAGAUGACAUGCCAAACUGUGAAGCAUUCCUCAUUUUU